rnacentral:rRNA from 1 species
GUGGGUAGUUUGACUGGGGCGGUCUCCUCCUAAAGAGUAACGGAGGAGCACGAAGGUUGGCUAAUCCUGGUCGGACAUCAGGAGGUUAGUGCAAUGGCAUAAGCCAGCUUGACUGCGAGCGUGACGGCGCGAGCAGGUGCGAAAGCAGGUCAUAGUGAUCCGGUGGUUCUGAAUGGAAGGGCCAUCGCUCAACGGAUAAAAGGUACUCCGGGGAUAACAGGCUGAUACCGCCCAAGAGUUCAUAUCGACGGCGGUGUUUGGCACCUCGAUGUCGGCUCAUCACAUCCUGGGGCUGAAGUAGGUCCCAAGGGUAUGGCUGUUCGCCAUUUAAAGUGGUACGCGAGCUGGGUUUAGAACGUCGUGAGACAGUUCGGUCCCUAUCUGCCGUGGGCGCUGGAGAACUGAGGGGGGCUGCUCCUAGUACGAGAGGACCGGAGUGGACGCAUCACUGGUGUUCGGGUUGUCAUGCCAAUGGCACUGCCCGGUAGCUAAAUGCGGAAGAGAUAAGUGCUGAAAGCAUCUAAGCACGAAACUUGCCCCGAGAUGAGUUCUCCCUGAGACUUAGAGUCUCCUGAAGGAACGUUGAAGACGACGACGUUGAUAGGCCGGGUGUGUAAGCGCAGCGAUGCGUUGAGCUAACCGGUACUAAUGAACCGUGAGGCUUAACCUUGCAACGCCGAAG